rnacentral:rRNA from 1 species
CCUACGGGAGGCAGCAGUGAGGAAUAUUGGUCAAUGGGCGCGAGCCUGAACCAGCUAAGUAGCGUGAAGGAUGACUGCCCUACGGGUUGUAAACUUUUUUUAUAAAGGAAUAAAGUGAGGCACGUGAGCCUUUUUGUAUGUACUUUAUCAUUAAAGAUCGGCUAACUCCGUGCCAGCAGCCGCGGUAAUACGGAGGAUCCGAGCGUUAUGCGGAUUUAUUGGGUUUAAAGGGAGCGUAGAUGGGUUGUUAAGUCAGUUGUGAAAGUUUGCGGCUCAACUGUAAAAUUGCAAUUGAUACUGGCAGCCUUGAGUACAGUUGAGGUAGGCGGAAUUCGUGGUGUAGCGGUGAAAUGCUUAGAUAUCACGAAGAACUCCGAUUGCGAAGGCAGCCUACUAGACUGCCACUGACAUUGAUGCUCGAAAGUGUGGGUAGCAAACAGGAUUAGAUACCCGGGUAGUC